rnacentral:rRNA from 1 species
CCUACGGGGGGCUGCAGUGGGGAAUAUUGGACAAUGGGCGAAAGCCUGAUCCAGCCAUGCCGCGUGUGUGAAGAAGGCCUUCGGGUUGUAAAGCACUUUCAGUGGGGAAGAAAGCCUUGGGGCUAAUACCCUCGAGGAAGGACAUCACCAACAGAAGAAGCACCGGCUAACUCCGUGCCAGCAGCCGCGGUAAUACGGAGGGUGCGAGCGUUAAUCGGAAUUACUGGGCGUAAAGCGCGCGUAGGCGGUCUGAUAAGCCGGUUGUGAAAGCCCCGGGCUCAACCUGGGAACGGCAUCCGGAACUGUCAGGCUAGAGUGCAGGAGAGGAAGGUAGAAUUCCCGGUGUAGCGGUGAAAUGCGUAGAGAUCGGGAGGAAUACCAGUGGCGAAGGCGGCCUUCUGGACUGACACUGACGCUGAGGUGCGAAAGCGUGGGUAGCAAACAGGAUUAGAUACCCCAGUAGUC